UCUCGUGGUUACGAUAGGUCUCUUCCCUGUGAUAUUCAUUUGCAGAUGGCUGGACUGAUCAAGCAGUACAGAAUGGAGGUCGGAGGGAGAGAAGGUCCUCCAGGGAGAUGAGAAAUCGCCGAGCACCUUAAGUCUCAAGGUUUGCUGACGGCCAAGACCAGGCUUUGAAUGAAUGGUGAACUCAGAGGGGAGCGCGUUGGCCUGAGGAACCCACGGAUGCCAGUGUUGGUCUAUUCUUGCUUUCAGGUACCCCUUGGAACACAGAAUAGCAGUCUAGUCCUGCUGCCACCCCCACAAGGCUGGGCAUGGUUCAAAGGCAUGCAGGAUGCAAAGAAGAGUCAGCUUUGGCUGGGGAGGAGUGGUUUGGUGUACACUGCUACUGAAAUAGAAACUUUUGGCCUUCUGUCUGUAGAAAUAAAAAUCUGACUUGGUGAUGUUUUU